rnacentral:tRNA from 1 species
GAGGAUAUAGCUCAGCGGUAGAGUGCAGGCUUAGCAUGCACGAGGUCCUGGGUUCAAUCCCUGGUACCUCCA